UACGUAGGGUGCGAGCGUUGUCCGGAAUUACUGGGCGUAAAGAGCUCGCAGGCGGUUUGUCGCGUCGUCCGUGAAAACUUGGGGCUCAACCCCAAGCUUGCGGGCGAUACGGGCAGACUUGAGUACUGCAGGGGAGACUGGAAUUCCUGGUGUAGCGGUGAAAUGCGCAGAUAUCAGGAGGAACACCGGUGGCGAAGGCGGGUCUCUGGGCCGAUACUGACGCUGAGGAGCGAAAGCGUGGGGAGCGAACAGG
rnacentral:rRNA from 1 species